rnacentral:rRNA from 1 species
UACGGAGGAUGCAAGCGUUAUCCGGAAUGAUUGGGCGUAAAGCGUCCGCAGGUGGCGUGGUAAGUCUGCUGUUAAAGAGUGAGGCUCAACCUCAUAAGAGCAGUGGAAACUACAUAGCUAGAGUACGUUCGGGGCAGAGGGAAUUCCUGGUGUAGCGGUGAAAUGCGUAGAGAUCAGGAAGAACAUCGGUGGCGAAGGCGCUCUGCUGGACCAUAACUGACACUCAGGGACGAAAGCUAGGGGAGCGAAUGGG